rnacentral:rRNA from 1 species
UACGGGGGGGGCAAGCGUUGUUCGGAUUUACUGGGCGUAAAGGGAGUGUAGGCGGUUGGUCAAGUCGGAUGUGAAAGCUUCACCACUCAACGGGAAGAGGUCAUCCGAAACUGGCCGGCUAGAGUAGGGUAGAGGCAAGCGGAAUUCCCGGUGUAGCAGUGAAAUGCGUAGAGAUCGGGAGGAACAUCUGUGGCGAAGGCGACUGCCUGGACCAGCACUGACACUGAGGCACGAAAGCGUGGGGAGCAAACAGG